UGCCACAACUUGUCCUGCAGGCUCCCC
rnacentral:piRNA from 1 species